rnacentral:rRNA from 1 species
UACGUAGGGUGCAAGCGUUGUCCGGAAUUAUUGGGCGUAAAGAGCUCGUAGGCGGUUUGUCGCGUCUGCCGUGAAAGUCCGGGUCUCAACUCCGGAUCUGCGGUGGGUACGGGCAGACUAGAGUGAUGUAGGGGAGACUGGAAUUCCUGGUGUAGCGGUGAAAUGCGCAGAUAUCAGGAGGAACACCGAUGGCGAAGGCAGGUCUCUGGGCAUUAACUGACGCUGAGGAGCGAAAGCAUGGGGAGCGAACAGG